rnacentral:rRNA from 1 species
UACGUAGGGUGCAAGCGUUAAUCGGAAUUACUGGGCGUAAAGCGUGCGCAGGCGGUUUUGUAAGUUUGUCGUGAAAGCCCCGGGCUCAACCUGGGAAUUGCGAUGAAGACUGCAAGGCUUGAAUCUGGCAGAGGGGGGUAGAAUUCCACGUGUAGCAGUGAAAUGCGUAGAGAUGUGGAGGAACACCGAUGGCGAAGGCAGCCCCCUGGGUCAAGAUUGACGCUCAUGCACGAAAGCGUGGGGAGCAAACAGGAUUAGAUACCCUGGUAGUCCACGCCCUAAACGAUGUCUACUAGUUGUCGGGUUUUGAUUAACUUGGUAACGCAGCUAACGCGUGAAGUAGACCGCCUGGGGAGUACGGUCGCAAGAUUAAAACUCAAAG